AGCAGUCGGGAGAGGAGAUGCUUAACCCAAACUAGCUACAAAUAUCGAAAAUGAAAGCAUUAUUUCUUGUAGUAUGCAUUCUUCUUGCUUCCACUUUCUUUAUUCCCACUUCAACCAUUGCUCGAGAGCUGAUCGGUGAGAUCAGCAAAUACUUUCAUACUAUUUCCAGUUUUUUUAGAUAAGCUACAUAAUAUAUAUGCAUAGAUAUAUACUUCAAUCUCAACACAUUCAAAUUCUUUUUUUUUUUUUUUUUGCAAGUGAAAAUUACAAUUACAAUCAAAUAACUUUCAACGUAUGUUUUGCGUUCAUUUGCAAUUUCAUUGAUUUUUAUUUGUCUGAAUGAUUUUAGUUAUGAAAUUGAAUGAUAUGGCUGUUAAUUUUGCAGCUGUAAAUGUGCCUGUUCAUAAUCGAGCCGAUAAGCUUUGGCCAGUUCCUAAACCUCCAAUUCCAUGUCCAACCCGUCACUGCGAGAAACGCAGUCCUGCAUCUCUACCAUGAAUAUGGUGGAAAAGCUAUAUAUUCCAGCAUAUCCAGCGGGAGGCUAAUUCCAUUGCUGAUGGGUUCGCUGAAGCUGGGAUAUCUCGUUCACAAGAUUUACGUGCUUGGUUGUAACUGCUUUUUUGUUGUGUUGUGUUCUUCUCUCAUUCUGUCCUCUCUUAAAACUUUUAAUACUGAAUAAAUCCUUUGCCUUUCAAAAAAAAAAAAGUUUGUUGUACUUGCCCUUGAUUUGUCUUUUAAAGACUACCUUGUUUAUUGUAUCCAGUGUGUUAUUUGUAAAAUAAGUAGUUCUUAAGAGCUCUUUAUCAUGAGUUCUUGGACUUCUAAUUUGUACAAAUUAUAAAUUUUAUCAUGAGAAUUAUGUAGAAAGCUCAAGUACUAUUAUUAUUAUUAUAUGUUUAUUUCUUUUUUUUCUUUUUCUUUUUCCCUUUAUUUUUUCUGUCAAUAAUUUUGUGCUCUAAAUGCACAUGGGCCAGGGGACG
rnacentral:lncRNA from 1 species